UUUUGUUUGUUAUUACAUGUUCUUAUACUGCGCGUUAGAAUAUCUUACAAAUAACCACUUCUGGAAAUAUACAUUGCUGAGUAUAUUCACAACAACAAAAAUUAAGAGAAAAAAUACACGAAAACAUUUAAGAUAAUCCCUUGCAUCAGGGACAUAUAUAGACUUAUUAUACGUCCCUGCUUGCAUGAAUGUUAUAUUUUCUGUAAGAAAAAAUAUUUCUGAGCGAGAAGGACGUUCCCAUAUUAAGCUAUGGAAUAUUGGCGAAACUGGGCAAGAUAUACCAAAACCAGUAAGCGAGUGUCCCGGAUGCCAUUGACAACUUACAAAGUAACUUAUGGGUUUGGGUUGGAAUUUCCUUCGUCUUCGAGACACUCGCUAUUCCUAAUAAUAAAUGUUAAUAUAUCGAACUGCUUGAAUCUGUUGGGAUAAAAACACAUGACAAUUAUGGUAAUUUCAGAGUUUUUUCCUUUCUGAUUGGAUUCCGAACUUGGACGGAAUUUGCCGAGAUGUUGCUAUGUGAUUACCUUACUGAACCUAACUGAAAACCACUCGGACCAUGCCGUCACGGCCUUAUAACCGCAAUGCACUCUGGGAGAUAUUGACUAAAGGGGAAAGAUACAGGGAGAUAACUCUGCGUAACAAUAGUAUGACGUAACGUCCUUUGUUGACGAUUUCCUUCACAACAUAAAGCGGCUAGCUAAACCAGCGACACGAACUUUUGCGGAAUUAAAAAAUGGAUCAGUAUUUGACAAUGGAUGACAGAAACAAUAACCAGAAUUCUUGGUCUAGAUGGCUGGCCAGAUAACGUAUUUGGUUUUUUGAGGGGAACUAAGUCCAGCGGAAUGAACUUGUGGAUUACUUACUCGGAGGACAACGAGGAGCCACUGGUUCUCGACAACGAAACACACAAUCUCUUUUCCGACGUCCGGGUAGAGGAGAGGGACGAUGAGGAGGAAGGGUUAAAUGAGGAGGAGGAAGAGGAUUACAAUCCUUAUUUCAGACAUUACUAUGACUCGGAAGACUGGGGACAUGGAUUCAAUAUGCCUAAAGCCUGGAUACAAUAAUUUCAGUUUACACAUUCUCUUCAAUAUCGAUCAUGCCAUACAGCGCCCUGAGAGAUGACGGGUGUGACUUUAACGGACUGGCCUUCCCAGCCCAGCCCCAGAAAGAACUGUUGUUUGACAACCCCAGAAAGAACUGUUGUUUGACAACCCCACAAAGAACUGUUGUUUGGCAACCCUAGCAAGAACUGUUGUUUGACAACCCCACAAAGAACUGUUGUUUGACAACGCCACAAAGAACUGUUGUUUGGCAACCCCAGCAAGAACUGUUGUUUGACAACCCCAGCAAGAACUGUUGUUUGACAACCCCAGCAAGAACUGUUGUUUGACAACCCCUCAAAGAACUGUUGUUUGACAACCCCAGCAAUAACUGUUGUUUGACAACCCAGCAAGAACUGUUGUUUGACAACGCCAGAAAGAACUGUUGUUUGACAACCCCACAAAGAACUGUUGUUUGACAACCCCACAAAGAACUGUUGUUUGACAACCCCACAAAGAACUGUUGUUUGACAACCCAACAAAGAACUGUUGUUUGACAACCCCACAAAGAACUGUUGUUUGACAACGCCAGAAAGAACUGUUGUUUGACAACGCCAGAAAGAACUGUUGUUUGACAACCCUAGCAAGAACUGUUGUUUGACAACCCUAGCAAGAACUGUUGUUUGACAACCCCACAAAGAACUGUUGUUUGGCAACCCCAGCAAGAACUGUUGUUUGACAACCCUAGAAAGAACUGUUGUAUGACAACCCCAGAAAGAACUGUUGUUUGACUUUUUUUUUCAUGAACCUAUGUCAUAUUUUCAAAAAUAUUACCAUAAUGGGGUAUAUUAAUUAAAACUCGGUAAUAUAAGAUAAAAAUAGCCGUGCAGUGUUGACUUGUUUUAUCAUGGUGGUUUGACGACGGCAAACAUGUGUGAACUUUCAAUAUAAAUAAACUAUGUCUAUUCUAAGGAAUGGAAAUAUAACUAGAUGAUAUUAAUAUAAAGUAAUAUUAUUAUACAUACAUGUAUAUAUUAUAUUAAUUCCAUAGAUUUCUGUAGAGCCCUAUAUCAACUUUCUUACCUCA